AGGGAAUAUUGCGCAAUGGGCGAAAGCCUGACGCAGCAACACCGUGUGAGCGAUGAAGGCCUUCGGGUCGUAAAGCUCUGUCAGGUGGGAAGAACCCCGGCUGGAAGAUAAUACCGGCCGGCUGACGGUACCACCAGAGGAAGCUCCGGCUAACUCCGUGCCAGCAGCCGCGGUAAUACGGAGGGAGCAAGCGUUGUUCGGAAUUACUGGGCGUAAAGGGCGCGUAGGCGGUUUAGUAAGUCAGAUGUGAAAGUCACCGGCUCAACCGGUCGAACUGCAUCCGAUACUGCCAGACUUGAGAUCAGUAGAGGAGAGUGGAAUUCCCAGUGUAGCGGUGGAAUGCGUAGAUAUUGGGAAGAACACCGGUGGCGAAGGCGGCUCUCUGGACUGAUUCUGACGCUGAGGCGCGAAAGCUAGGGGAGCGAAC
rnacentral:rRNA from 1 species